CGAUCAAAGGGACUGCAGGGGAGCCCAGGAAAGGCGGCGAGGAGCAGAGCUGCAAAGAGGCACUCGGAGCGAGACAACGUGAAGCCUUUAAGUCUUUUUGAGCGGCUACUGAGGUGGAAACAGCUGGGCUGAGGCGGAUGCUUUGAGACAGAACGUGGUUUGUGGGGACAGGACCAGCAAUGGAGACCUGAGUUUGGUCGGAACAGAGAGCUGAAGAAGACCUCUAUGAUGCAGGAU
rnacentral:lncRNA from 7 species